AAGGGCUAUUCAGAAGACAGAGGGCUUAAUCAUGUCCACUACUUCUUGUUGAUUUCUUCUCUUCUCCACAAAAUGACUGCUUCAUGUACUAGACCAUAACUGCAUACAUCUAUAAGACAGCUUUACUCACAAGAUGAAGGGAUAUUCCUUAGUGUUGAUAUUUCAUUGACUUACUCAGGCUUUCUCUUGUCAAGAUCUUGUCUUUCAACUCUGUUGGAUAGCAUAUUUAUCUUAGUUUCAGCCUUGAAUUCUCACUUGGACAUAUUCUAUUUCCCUACCAGAGUGUAACCCCAAUAUAAGGACUGACAGUCAAGCUCUACUACACCUCUUAGCCAGUUUCUCCAGAUAAUAACGAAUACCAUACACAUUCACAGGCCAUGUUCUAAAGGAUUCUCAGAAGCUAUUGGAGUCGUUUCCAGGAUUAUAUGGGGAGAAAGAAGAUAAAUAUUCUCAGCUCUUCUUUGUUGCUGUGACAGAAACAGACUGUCUUGCCUAUAUGAUGUAUCUAAGACUUUUAAUUUUCUCUCCUGUAUUUGUUGGUGUUGUUGUUAAAUCCAACUGGAUGGGAAAGAAGUACUUCUGUUGCUUGUGAUAUUACCUUACAUGUAGUUAUUGAAAACAAAGAGAAUGGAUUUUGCCCCUCUGGGUAUAUUCUUAUUCUGCUGUCAUUUUUUGAGAUUUUCCAAAUCUGCAUCAUCCUGUCCCACAGGUGUUUUGUUUUUUUUUAGUUUUUGUUUUGUUUUGUUUUGUUUUGUUUUCCCCAUGGCAUCUCUCCACUUCCUCUAAUUUGGCUCCUGGACAAUUACAGUUGCUUUCUAAAGAUAUUAUACAUAAUUAAGGCAGUUGACUUUUAACUUUCAUUUACAUUACUUUUUAACUUUCUAAAAAAAUUUUACUACUUACCAUUAUGAAUGGUAUUUAAAUUUUGUAUUCUGUGGAUUUCUUGGGAAGAAAUUCAAUAAGAUAAGAUGAAUGUAGCAAUGCAUUAUUCACUCAUGUUUACCUGAAGUUGGAAUGUGUGUUUGAGUUAAAGGUUGAGUACAAAUCAAA
rnacentral:lncRNA from 1 species